ensembl:scaRNA
CGCCUUUCUCCCAUGGGCUGUGUGGGGUCCCUGUUCUUCGCAGCUAAGGCUGGAGGCCAAGAUCAGCCUUUGAGGACUGUCAUCAGAACUGCCUUGCUUUCCUGCCUCAGAUGUAA